rnacentral:rRNA from 1 species
UGGGGGAUAUUGCGCAAUGGGGGAAACCCUGACGCAGCAACGCCGCGUGAAGGAAGAAGGCCUUCGGGUUGUAAACUUUUGUCUUUAGGGAAGAGAAGAAGACGGUACCUAAGGAGGAAGCCACGGCUAACUACGUGCCAGCAGCCGCGGUAAUACGUAGGUGGCGAGCGUUGUCCGGAUUUAUUGGGUGUAAAGGGCGUGUAGGCGGGACUACAAGUCAGAUGUGAAAUACCGAGGCUUAACCUCGGGGCUGCAUUUGAAACUGUAGUUCUUGAGUGCAGGAGAGGAUAGUGGAAUUCCUAGUGUAGCGGUGAAAUGCGUAGAUAUUAGGAGGAACACCAGUGGCGAAGGCGACUAUCUGGACUGUAACUGACGCUGAGGCGCGAAAGUGUGGGGAGCAAACAGG